GCUGCUUAGCAUCUUACCAAUGGCCAGGAAAGCUCCCUCUAAGAAACAGUUUUCUGCCACAGAUGAUCAAUGGCGCUCAGAAUGAGAUGGCCUUCGAUGAACUAUCAUCUCAGCAAAUUGGUGUUACACGGAGAUCAAGGAGUACAUUACCACUCAGCAAGCCCUCCUACCUGAGGACUGAGCUGGCAGCUCUUGGCAGAAUGGAUCGAAUUACCCACUUUGCUGUAGUUUUGUGCAACGAUGAUGAUGAUGAUGAUGAUGGUGUUGGCUAUGAUUAUGAUGGUGGUGAUGAUAAUGGUGAUGAUUGUGGUGAGGAUGAUGAUGAUGGAGAUGGAGAAGGAGAUGAAGAAGAUGAUGGCUAUGGCAAUGGCUCAUACUACUAGGAGUCAGAUAUAGCACAGCCACUUGGACAAUGAAUGAACUGGUUUGUACUAACAAGUUUUUCUUCCCACCAAACUACCAAAUGCCCCAUCUCCUGAAGAUUUACCAAGACAGCUGAAGAUACAGAUGCAUGCAGCUCCCGUCCCUAUGCAAAGAAGCAUCUUUUAGCAGCGAGUGGAGACCCUAAAGAAAGUCACCACAGGUCACAAUGCAGACUAUGGGUACCCAGGCUCAGUUUACGUUUCUGCAAUACAACUCUUACAUCUAAGGCUCAGAGAACAUCUCAGAAGAGUUGAGAACGUCUCGAAAGAAUUUACGAAAAAGAUGAGAAAAGCGAGAGGAGCAGGGCGUCCGAUACAAUAUAGUGUCUUCUAUAUAUGACACGGAAGCUGUACCCAUCAACUCUGAAAGCGCCUGCUACCCAAAACAGACCUGCACAGUGACACCAUUGGACAAGCCAAAGUAAACGUCACAGGGCCCCACCCCUAGACGAAGAGCGGUAGGCAACUGAUGGCCGCUGACAGAGAUAAUCAGUCUUCUCCCAGAAGAGCCCUGAAGAUGGGUUAUUCAGUCCCAAGUGGUCAUCCCUAAACUAAUAGACUCGUGAGCGACAGUAACAGGACUCAGCAUAAAUGAACUCAGCAGGCUGCAUUUGCAUAUGCAGAUUAAAGAAGAGGGAGGGAUCGUGUGUGAGAGUGGGAGUCACGUGGGAGGAGUCUCAGGCGCAGGAAGGAGAAGUGGAAAUGACUUAAAUAUAGUACUGAGUACAAGAUUCUCAAGAGAGAGAGAAAAAGAAGAAUGCUCUUCACGGUUAGGCGUAAGCUCUCCAAGGGCAGCCAUUAUGCUUCUGAUUUUCUCCUUCCUCGUGGCACCCAGGCCUCGACAUGAAUCAGAUGCUCGAUAAAUGGUCAAUGCAUGCAGUGGAGUUAAAUGAAAUCCUUUCUUUCCAAUUCAUCUUCCUCUAAGCUUGCCCUUGGGAGUAAGACCAGGAUAUAGCCAGAUAACCCUCAGAACCCUCGGCGGGGACUUUCGAAGGAGGACAAACCUCCAGGUGAAUGAAAAAAAAAUAUAGAAGAACAGGAAGAAGAUUAAAAAUGCCAAGAUUGACAACUGCCCACCUGGCCCUCAGCCCCUAAUGAGAAAAGAGAAACCCAAACCAUCUGAUUCACUUCAAUUGCUCCUGGACCUGAAAUGACCUCCCUCUCCCAGGCCUGGAGGAAAAUUCAAUUAAAGGGUCCAUCUGUGAGGUGGCCGCUGGAGAGGAAAGGGCUUUGGGGAGACCCACAUUUUCAUAAAAAAAUAAAAUAAAAUAAGAGCCCUGCUCCUCUCCCUUUUCCCCACCCUCCUCCUCCCCCUCUU